rnacentral:rRNA from 1 species
GAUGAACGCUGGCGGCGUGCCUAACACAUGCAAGUCGAACGGAAAGGCCCUGCGUUUGUGGGGUGCUCGAGUGGCGAACGGGUGAGUAACACGUGAGUAUCCCGCCCUUGACUUUGGGGUAACUUCAGGAAACUGGGGCUCAUACCGCAUAUGAUCUCCUGCUGCAUGUUGGGGGUUGGAAAGUUUCGGCGGUUGGGGAUGGACUCGCGGCUUAUCAGCUGGAUGGUGGGGUAGUGGCUUACCAAGGGUUUGACGGGUAGCCGGCAUGGGAGCGUGAACGGCCACAAUGGGACUGAGAUAGGGAGCAGUAUCCAACGGGAGGCAGUAGUGGGGAAUAUGACACAGUGGGCGGGAGCGUGAUGCGGAGACGCCGGGUGCGGGAUGCCGGCUUUCGGGUUGUAAACCGAUUUCGAAUGUGACGAAGCGUGAGUGACGGUAAUGGGUAAAGAAGCAACGGCUAACUACGUG